rnacentral:rRNA from 1 species
GACGGACGCUGGCGGCGUGCCUAGUACAUGCAAGUCGAACGCUUCUUUCCUCCCGAGUGCUUGCACUCAAUUGGAAAGAGGAGUGGCGGACGGGUGAGUAACACGUGGGUAACCUACCCAUCAGAGGGGGAUAACACUUGGAAACAGGUGCUAAUACCGCAUAACAGUUUAUGCCGCAUGGCAUAAGAGUGAAAGGCGCUUUCGGGUGUCGCUGAUGGAUGGACCCGCGGUGCAUUAGCUAGUUGGUGAGGUAACGGCUCACCAAGGCCACGAUGCAUAGCCGACCUGAGAGGGUGAUCGGCCACACUGGGACUGAGACACGGCCCAGACUCCUACGGGAGGCAGCAGUAGGGAAUCUUCGGCAAUGGACGAAAGUCUGACCGAGCAACGCCGCGUGAGUGAAGAAGGUUUUCGGAUCGUAAAACUCUGUUGUUAGAGAAGAACAAGGACGUUAGUAACUGAACGUCCCCUGACGGUAUCUAACCAGAAAGCCACGGCUAACUACGUG